ACGAACGCUGGCGGCAUGCCUAACACAUGCAAGUCGAACGGGAACCGGGGAGCAAUCCCUGGGGAGAGUGGCGCACGGGUGAGUAACACGUAGGUAACGUUCCCUUUGGUUCGGAAUAACUUGCCGAAAGGCGGGCUAAUACCGGAUGAGCCUCUCGGGGGUUCGCCCCUGGGAGGGAAAGCAGCAAUGCGCCGAUGGAUCGGCCUGCGGCCCAUCAGCUAGUUGGUGAGGUAACGGCUCACCAAGGCUACGACGGGUAGCUGGUCUGAGAGGACGAUCAGCCACACUGGGACUGAGACACGGCCCAGACUCCUACGGGAGGCAGCAGUGGGGAAUAUUGGUCAAUGGGCGAAAGCCUGAACCAGCAAUGCCGCGUGGGUGAUGAAGGCCUUCGGGUUGUAAAGCCCUGUCGGGAGGGACGAAAAAACGGGUAACCGGCUUGACGGUACCUCCAAAGGAAGCACCGGCUAACUCUGU
rnacentral:rRNA from 1 species